GGAGUCUGGACCGUGUCUCAGUUCCAAUGUGGGGGACCUUCCUCUCAGAACCCCUAGCCAUCGUCGCCUUGGUGGGCCGUUACCCCGCCAACUAGCUAAUGGCACGCGAGCCAAUCCGUAAGCGAUAAAUCUAUUAAACAAUAUCCAUGCGAAUACUGUUGUUACGGAGUAUUACGCGACGUUUCCAUCGACUAUCCUCCACUUACGGGCAUGUUGCUCACGCGUUACUCACCCUUUCGCCGGUCGUCAUCUGGCUGAGCAAGCUCAGCCAAUGUUACCCCUCGACUUGCAUGUGUUAAGCCUGUAGCUAGCGUUCAUC
rnacentral:rRNA from 1 species